AUUGAACGCUGGCGGCAGGCCUAACACAUGCAAGUCGAGCGGAGCGGCGGACGGGUGCGUGAUGCCUAGGAAUCUGCCUGGUAGCGGGGGAUAACGUCCGGAAAUGGGCGCUAAUACCGCUUACUAUCAGAUGAGCCUAGGCCGGAUUAGCUAGUUGGUGGGGUAAAGGCCUACAAAGGCCACGAUCCGUAACUGGUCUGAGAGGAUGAUCAGCCACACUGGAACUGAGACACGGUCCAGACUCCUACGGGAGGCAGCAGUGGGGAAUAUUGGACAAUGGGCGAAAGCCUGAUCCAGCCAUGCCGCGUGUGUGAAGAAGGUCUUCGGAUUGUAAAGCACUUUAAGUUGGGAGGCGUUAUCAGCAGAAUAAGCACCGGCUAACUUCGUGCCAGCAGCCGCGGUAAUUC
rnacentral:rRNA from 1 species